UGAUACGCCCCGGCCUCGGUGAUGAGAGUCGAGUCAUUGAUGUACCCGAUCGUGAAUUGGAGUAAUAUCAAGGUUUGUCGAAGAUAGGUUAAGAAAGAAGGGAUAAAGGCUCAAAUUUAGUUCAAAAGGGGUUAUGAAGUGUAUUGAGGAUGAUAGGUGAAUGAAAACCAAGUAUUCAAGUUGAACCAACACAAUAUAAGUGUGUUAACCCGGGACUUAUACGAAUACUUAGGAAAGGUUAAAUGUUGUAUGGAUGG
rnacentral:lncRNA from 1 species